AAGCAUGGGGUUCUAUACUUGGCCAAUAGAACCUUUUACCAAAAAAAGGGUUCCAUUUAGAGCCCUUGGAGGGCAAAGAACCAUUUUUAUUAAAAUGGUUCUAUAAUUCACGUUUGUGACUGAAGUGUAAACUAAAGAUUACACAAUAAUUACAGACCUACACAACUCAUUCACAAACCUUUUUGUUUCAAUAGGCUGUGGUCAAAUAAAGAGAGAGUCAACAAAUAGGCUAUUCAUAUUUAUUGUAUGAUUUAUUUCCUGUGAGCUUUUUUAUGCAAGUUUGUACAUUAGCAUAAAACUUACAGUGCAAUUGGCGUUUUUGGUGAAUAACCAGGUGUUUUCUUUAUAUUUGUACAUUCUAUAUUGUCAAUGUUUAAUUUAACCUGAAGGGGCAUUUAAAACAAAUAAUGGCAAAAGUGCCCUCUGGUGGCGUAUAUAUGCGUUGCACCAUAAGCGAAGAUGAGCCUCCAGACGUGACAGUUUUUUUUUCUUUUCAAACUGAGGAGUUCGGACUCCGGACCGGCAUUUCUGCUUGUUGGUACCCUGAGAUUAAAUUGCCAAUCACAAUAAGACAGCUGUGUGUUGUAAGGAGACGAAUGAAGCGCGUGGUCAAGGGAACCGGGUGGAAGGGAAAUGAUAUGUAAAUGUUUGUCGCAGUUUUACACAUAUUCCAUAACCAUGGUUAAUAAAUGGUCCGUUAUGACACGUCACUGGCUUUAAAAUAUAAACCCCAUUGAUGCAAAAAGAUGCUGCAUGGAAUGACAAUGAGGUUUGGAACAGACUUGGUGAAGAACAUGGAAACAUCUCUAAAUAACAUGGCCCCAACCAUCAUCAGGAGUGCAAAAGAAUGAAGUAAAAAACAUCUCUACGCCAAUCUCAUUGGAACAGCAGAGGAAACCACAGAAGGUCUGGUGAGGAAUGCUGCACUUAUGUUAUUGCAAGCAUUAUUUUAAGAAAAUCCCAGCUUGCUUUGCUGUGUAAAUAGUGAACCCAAAGGUCCCACACCAACCAUAGUGUUCAACGGCUCUCCUGAUCCUCUCAAAUCUCAAAGUAUCAACUUUAUAAUGGACAAUGUGAACAUAAUAUGUGGAAGACCUUGACAUCACAGGCUGUGGAAUGACUGUUUGCGGGGUUUUUUCUCUUCAAUGUUCAAUACCCUUUUGCCAUUAAGCACACAGUGACUUUAAUUUAUAAAAUAUAUGCAUAAAUUUAAAUACCUGUACAAAACAAAUGUACAAUCAACUUGUGUAAAUUGUCAUUCUAUUUAAUAGAUUGUUCAUGAAUUGUCUUUAAAUGCAUUGUGAUUUCUUUUCAUCAUUUCAGACACAUGUAAAAGUUACUAAAAAUUAGUACUGCAUAUACUGUACAGUAUCUUUGUUUAUAAAAACAGAAAAUGCGUAAGGGAAAUAACUUGAACAAAAUUUUUGAAUGUAUAGUGUAAUUAAGAGUUUAGCUGUUUAAUACAGA